UACAGAGGCCUCAAGCGUUAUUCGGAAUCACUGGGCUUAAAGCGUGUGUAGGCGGAUCGUUAAGUGUCUUGUGAAAUCCCACGGCUCACCCGUGGAACUGCUGGGCAUACUGGCGAUCUUGGGCCAACUAGGGGCAACUGGAACAAGCGGUGGAGCGGUGAAAUGCGUAGAUAUCGCUUGGAACGCCAAAGGUGAAAACAGGUUGCUGGGGUUGUGCCGACGCUGAGACACGAAAGCCAGGGGAGCAAACGGG
rnacentral:rRNA from 1 species